rnacentral:rRNA from 1 species
UACGUAGGGUGCAAGCGUUGUCCGGAAUUAUUGGGCGUAAAGAGCUCGUAGGCGGUCUGUCGCGUCGGCUGUGAAAACUCGGGGCUCAACCCCGAGCCUGCAGUCGAUACGGGCAGACUAGAGUUCGGUAGGGGAGACUGGAAUUCCUGGUGUAGCGGUGAAAUGCGCAGAUAUCAGGAGGAACACCGGUGGCGAAGGCGGCUCACUGGCCCGGUACUGACGCUGAGGUGCGAAAGCGUGGGGAGCAAACAGG